GACGAACGCUGGCGGCGUGCUUAACACAUGCAAGUCGAACGGAAAGGCCCUGCUUUUGUGGGGUGCUCGAGUGGCGAACGGGUGAGUAACACGUGAGUAACCUGCCCUUGAAUAUGGGAUAACUUCAGGAAACUGGGGAUAAUACCGGCUAGGAGCUCCUGCUGCAUGGUGGGGGUUGGAAAGUUUCGGCGGUUGGGGAUGGACUCGCGGCUUAUCAGCUUGUUGGUGGGGUAGUGGCUUACCAAGGCUUUGACGGGUAGCCGGCCUGAGAGGGUGACCGGCCACAUUGGGACUGAGAUACGGCCCAGACUCCUACGGGGGGCAGCAGUGGGGAAUAUUGCACAAUGGGCGGAAGCCUGAUGCAGCAACGCCGCGUGCGGGAUGACGGCCUUCGUGUUGUAAACCGCUUUCGCCUGUGACGAAGCGUGAGUGACGGUAAUUGUUAAAGAAGCACCGGCUAACUACGUG
rnacentral:rRNA from 1 species